UACGGAGGGUGCGAGCGUUGUCCGGAAUCACUGGGCGUAAAGGGCGCGUAGGCGGCGUCGGUAGUCCGUGGUGAAAGCUCGUGGCUCAACUGCGAGUCGGCCAUGGAUACUCCGAUGCUUGAGCACUGUAGAGGCAGGUGGAAUUCCGGGUGUAGCGGUGGAAUGCGUAGAGAUCCGGAAGAACACCGGUGGCGAAGGCAGGUCUCUGGGCUGACACUGACGCUCAUGCACGAAAGCGUGGGGAGCAAACAGG
rnacentral:rRNA from 1 species